rnacentral:misc_RNA from 1 species
AACGCACAUUGCGCCCGCCAGCAUUCUGGCGGGCAUGCCUGUUCGAGCGUCAUUUCAACCAUCAAGCCCCCCGGGCUUGUGUUGGGGACCUGCGGCUGCUCCGCAGGCCCUGAAAUACAGUGGCGGGCUCGCUAGUCACACCGAGCGUAGUAGACAUUUUAUCUCGCUCAGGGCGUGCUGCGGGUUCCGGCCGUUAAACCCCCGCCUUCUAACCCAAGGUUGACCUCGGAUCAGGUAGGAAGACCCGCUGAACUUAA